UACCCACCUGCUCCCAGUGCCACCCACACUGCUUUAAAUGCAACUUACAUAUUGGCUUUCACUAUGUAAAGCGCUUUGAGUCACUAGAGAAAAAGCGCUAUAUAAUUCACUUCACUUACAUAAAAAUGGAGAAGGGUACUGGUAACAACUGCCGUCAGUUGUAAGUAGACAUUUGUCACUUAUUUUGAACUACAGGACGUCUAAUGUUAUGUCCAAUGUUAAUGUGUCCUUUUUCUUCUUCAUGAUGUUUUUCCUCAGUUAUCCAGUAAGUGCGGACAAAAAACUUCUCGCCAGAACCAUGUGACACUUUACCCGUCACUUAACAUCAACAUGGAGGACGAAAAUAAGGAUAUGUAAGGGAAUGUUAAGAGUGAGAAACACACAUUACUUGGAUUGAUUGUGACAGUAGCUCAUUAGAUCCCAGUUUUAUUUGUGUUGUAAAGGAACACGUCUAUGAUCCAACAUGCCACGCUGGCUUUCUGGAAGGUAAGCUGAGGAAUAUCCACCAAACGAAGGGAUGAUCGGUGCAGUUAUUGCAGAAGGGGUGGCUCAUCUGAAGUCACUGUUGGACUUGAAGAAGUUACAGAAAGUGAUGAGUCUGUCCAAGAAUGGAUAACUGUGAUCAUAAGGAUGAAGCCUAGUCCGGAGAACCUUUCUUCCAUCAAGAUGGAGAUUGUUGAGAACUACCCUCGUUUCAUCGAUGUACCAUAUCUGAUCGACAGUUUGAGAAGAUGUUUCCAUACAAGACAGACAUCUUUCUACACAAAUGGGACCAAAGUUGUUGAAGCUGGCUGCUCUUGAAGGAAAAGAUGAACCACCAGAAGCUGAGAGUGCUGAAUGAAGGUGCUGUAGAGCACUGAAGAUGCUCACACAUGAUCUGCCCCCUACUGGGUCAAGAAGAUCUAUGGGAUGGACAAAAUGCAGCAUCAAGUCAGUGCUGUCCUACAUUAAACAACCAGGAAGAAGCUUCCAUGACCUUCUACAAACCACUGACCCUGCUCCAGUGAUGCAACCUGGUCUGGUGAGCAUUGGACAUUGCAGCACAACAUCAACACAAUAUGUCCUCGUGGCUGCCCAUGUCAUUCCACUCCAGGAAGAGGGUCUCACCUGCAGUCUGGACUAACUCUUCAAAUUGUAUUGGGCUUGUAACCUUGCCUGCUUGGUAAAGUAGGAGUUGUUGAUUGAAAAAAUGGCAGCCUGUGGACAUAAGUGGACCCCGACUUAAACAAGUUGAACAACUUAUUGGGGUGUUACCAUUUAGUGGUCAAUUGUAUGUAAUAUGUACUUCACUGUGCAAUCUACUAAUAAAGUUUCAAUCAAUG